rnacentral:rRNA from 1 species
UACGAAGGGGCUAGCGUUGUUCGGAAUUACUGGGCGUAAAGCGCACGUAGGCGGAUUGUUUAGUGAGGGGUGAAAUCCCAGGGCUCAACCCUGGAACUGCCUCUCAUACUGGCAAUCUCGAGUUCGAGAGAGGUGAGUGGAAUUCCGAGUGUAGAGGUGAAAUUCGUAGAUAUUCGGAGGAACACCAGUGGCAAAGGCGGCUCACUGGCUCGAUACUGACGCUGAGGUGCAAAAGCGUGGGGAGCAAACAGGAUUAGAUACCCU